rnacentral:misc_RNA from 1 species
CAGAGCGUAACAACUCUCAAACCACUGUGAACCUACCACUGUUGCUUCGGCGGUGAGCCGCGCGCCCCCCCGGGCGCCGGCUCUUCCAAGCCGCCGGAGGCCCCCUAAACUGUAUCUCAGCUGUGGCAUUAUCUGAGUAGCGAAAGCAAAACAAAUGAAUCA